AAUUUGUAAAAAAGGACAUUGCAUUUUCUUUUUCAAAAAUGUAUAAUGAUUUUUAAACUUUACAUAUCUAUUACUUAUUUGAUUUUUUUUCACAUUCAAUGAUUGUAAGAUAGAACUGAUGAGUGCUUUGAUUUUUGGAUUUACCCUGUUUUACAUAACAUUGGACCUGCCCAGGUACACAGUUGUAAGUCUGAAACAUUUAGGUUAGCAAGCUGGUGGAAAUCACAGAGAAUCUACUUGAUGUUUUAGGUAUUUUAGAGAUAUUGUUUUGUUUAAGAUGUUUAAGUAUAGUUAUGGUAAAUAAGAAUGACAAGAAGAAUCACCUUGGACAAGAAGAUAUACAACAAAAUCAGGUAAAUACCUUUGAGUUACAUUUAUGCAGAAUUGAUACAGGUUAUAUACAUUUGUAUUAAACAAUCAAAGUAAAAUGGCAGCAAACUAAAAUUUGUAACUUGAGAGAUCAAGGCUGUUUUUAUUUCUAAGCUUCAUACAUUAGAUUUACUAAUACUUGUAAUUGAUUUAAAUCUAGAUUUAAUAGUUAAAUUAAUUGAAUUUUUAGAACUAAAUAGUACAAUCAGUAGUUUUAUGCAGCUGAAUAAGACAGGGUUAUCAUAAUCAUUUAUCAUUUUAUUGUUGUUUUCAAUGGAGAAAUCUGAUAUUACAUUUUACAUACAUUGCAGGCUAGUAGGACUAGUUCUUACUUUGAGAUGCCAGGUGAAUAAUGAUAUGCAGUAUUGAGCCUGAAAAGGUGAACACAGCCACAUGAAGUUCUCCGAGGAAAUAGAAGCAGAGCACUGAAACAGACAUCAAUAAAAGAAAUAGUAGUUUGAAUAAUCAGAAACAUUUGAUCAAAUUUAUGAUUUGAACAGUUCCUCACCGACAGACUUCCAGCAAAAUAAUUGUAUAAAUAAAGUGUUUGAUUCCAAGAAAACCAGUAAAAAACAAAAA